UUAAGUUCAGCGGGUAGUCUCACCCGAUUUGAGGUCAAGGUUUUCUUCUUGUGGGUCCAGCCUCCCCCCGCCAACGUAGACGGCGGUUGACCGGAGCACCAUCAUUGUCCAUGGGACGGUUAGAAGCAGGCAUCCAAGGGACAGUGCCAAAUCCAAAACGUAGAAGCAUCUUAUCACGUCAAGGAUCGGCAAAGCGGACC
rnacentral:misc_RNA from 1 species